AGGGAAGGCAUCGAGCUUGAGGAAGAGGCCCCAUUCAUCUCCGUACCCCAGGCCCUGGUACACAGCAGCAAGAAUGCGGUGUGUCAGGAGAAGCAAAUCCCAAAUGAGAUAAACCUGCCAGUAAUUUCAGCAAAUGAAACGUGGAACACGUCAAGGCCAGAGGAUGGAAAAGGCUCCAGUUUUGAUAAAAGGAGGCCUGCUUGGCUUGGAAUCCUCUCUCCUGCUGGUUGGGAGAUGCAAAGAUGUUUCCAGAGAGGGGCUGAUGAAUUGAGGGGAAAGAAAUGAGCCCAGUAUGAGUCCCCUUUCAGGGCUGAGCGUGUAUAAAACCAAACAACUUGGAACCGCUCCAAGAGAGGGGAUUAAAGCAACAUGUUAUUCU
rnacentral:lncRNA from 1 species